GACGAACGCUGGCGGCGUGCUUAACACAUGCAAGUCGAACGGAAAGGCCCUUCGGGGUACUCGAGUGGCGAACGGGUGAGUAACACGUGGGUGAUCUGCCCUGCACUUUGGGAUAAGCCUGGGAAACUGGGUCUAAUACCGAAUAUGAUCAUCGGCUUCAUGGUCGGUGGUGGAAAGCUUUUGCGGUGUGGGAUGGGCCCGCGGCCUAUCAGCUUGUUGGUGGGGUAAUGGCCUACCAAGGCGACGACGGGUAGCCGGCCUGAGAGGGUGACCGGCCACACUGGGCCUGAGAUACGGCCCAGACUCCUACGGGAGGCAGCAGUGGGGAAUAUUGCACAAUGGGCGCAAGCCUGAUGCAGCGACGCCGCGUGGGGGAUGACGGCCUUCGGGUUGUAAACCUCUUUCAGCACAGACGAAGCGCAAGUGACGUUAUGUUCAGAAGAAGGACCGGCCAACUACGUG
rnacentral:rRNA from 1 species